CAGUCCCCGCGGGAAUACAGAGGGUGCAAGCGUUAAUCGGAAUUACUGGGCGUAAAGCGCGCGUAGGUGGUUUGUUAAGUUGGAUGUGAAAGCCCCGGGCUCAACCUGGGAACUGCAUCCAAAACUGGCAAGCUAGAGUACGGUAGAGGGUGGUGGAAUUUCCUGUGUAGCGGUGAAAUGCGUAGAUAUAGGAAGGAACACCAGUGGCGAAGGCGACCACCUGGACUGAUACUGACACUGAGGUGCGAAAGCGUGGGGAGCAAACAGGAUUAGAUACCCCAGUAGUCCCUGUCUCUUAUAC
rnacentral:rRNA from 1 species